UUUAUUUUAUUUUUGUUUUUUAAAUCAAGUUUCCCACACCCACAUGGCAACCCAACCCAGUCCAGUGGUGAAGGAUGGAUGUGUGUGGUCAGGGCGGGGAUGAUGGUUGGGGUGAUGGAGCUUCUGAUCCAUCUUAGGAAACUGGAUUUUGCAAAAGUACCAAGUUUCUAAAUCAAGGUUAGAACUCUAAGGUUCCAUCAACUCCCAACAGCAACUCUCCCUGACUCCCUCUCCCACUCAUUCUCUGCUACCUCAGGGUGAAACUGUGAUUCUCAAGAAGUUCAGGAGUCACUGGGAGAGGAUGAGGAUCUACUAUCUAAUUUCCAUUGCUAAAAUGUUCAUUCAUUUGGCCCUUUACUCCUUCAAAAAGACUAUGUGGUAGAGUGCCAGCAAAGAUCAUUGCUUCAAGCUCAGUUCCUGUACUUUCUAGCUUAGUGACUCGCUUGACUUCACUGAAAUUCGGUUUACCCGUAUAUGAUGGAUGGAUAGUAAUAUGUUUCCCAUCUCACAAGAAGCUUGGAGACUGUAUAUCUUUGCAAAAUGGAUUUUAAAGAAGAAAAACAACAGAAAAAAAUUAAAUCAGAGCAACUCCCAAGUUUUUCAACUGCUGAGCCUUGCUUCCUAUGCUUCCAGAAAAGAUGCUCUAAAUGUUACUGGAAUGACUGUUAGCUCCAAAGACUGAGGGCUCUCCAAGAAGGUGAACUUCAAAAAUGAGUAUUGCAACUAAAGGAAUGUCAAAACUCCAUCCUUGUCUCCUCUCUGCUUUAGGUGAGGGCAGGUAGGAAAGAGGGUGCAGCUGAAAAAGUCUUGUCUCUCAUCACUACCUCCCUCCCAACCCCUACAAAGGUCAUUGGGAAAAAAGAAUUCUCAUAAACCAAGAACUAUGGACUAGUAAAAGGGACAAGAACCUCAGAUGAUAAUGCAGUUUGCAGAGCCUCUUUCCUUGAGAAAACAGAACAGAAAGCUAUCAGUCACAAGCAGAACUGCUUAAAAGCUGGGGAGAGGUGAGAUAUACUUUUGGGGUUGUCUAUUUGUCCAUGAAUAGAACAACCUUCCUUAGCUUCUUAGACUGUCUUGACUUCUAGAAUUCAAGAAACUUUUGUUGGGCAUUUACUAGAUGCCAGAAACUCUGCUAGGUGCUGAGGAUAGAAAGAGAAACCUUAAAUAGUCUCUGGCCUCAUGGAGCUUAUAGUAUAUACAGGAUGUACACAGAUUAGUAAAUACAAAAGAUACAAUGUUAGGGCCAAAAGGGAUUUUAGAAAUCUUCACAUCUAAUCCUCUCCUUUUACAGAUCAGAUAAUCAAACCUCAUGAAAAUGAAAUUACUUGUCCAAGAUCCCAAAACGUUUAAGUGGUAGAGUCAACUGGUACUCAAUCCUAUGGGUUUGUAAGGAGAUAAAUUUCUACUGAGGUCCUUUCCAAAUAUAAAAUUUUGUGAUGUGACCCUAUCUUUAGACUUAUUUCUAGUACACUGUGUUUCUCUUUGUUUUCUCCUGCAAGAAGCCCAGAAUUAGUAGUGGAGGGAGACCCAGGCUAGUUUCCAAUGUGAGUUCCCAUUGUAGAAGUAAUAAUUAAACUGAAGUUCAUGUUUAGUUCAGAUAUUUUUGUCCUUAAAAUAGUCUUUUUUAUGAGAUGAUCAAAGACAGAAAGGUCCAAUAUAUAACAAAAUAUUCAUAGCAGCUU
ensembl:lncRNA